rnacentral:misc_RNA from 1 species
GAAAUGCGAUAAGUAGUGUGAAUUGCAGAAUUCAGUGAAUCAUCGAAUCUUUGAACGCACAUUGCGCCCUUUGGUAUUCCUUAGGGCAUGCCUGUUCGAGCGUCAUCUAAACCUUCAAGCCCUGCUUGGUGUUGGGUGCCUGUCCCGCCUCCGCGCGCGGACUUACCUCAAAUCCAUUGGCGGCCCCCGCGUCGGCCACGAGCGCAGCAGAAACGCGAACUCGUGAGCCCGUCCGGGCGGCUCCCAGAAGCUACACCCACCCAGUUUGACCUCGGAUCAGGUAGGGAUACCCGCUGAACUUAAGC